UGGCCCCGGACCAGGCUGUUGUUGUUCUCAACGUGGUCCGCCACCGAGCAAUAUAAG
rnacentral:miRNA from 1 species